UGGCUCAGGACGAACGCUGGCGGCGUGCUUCAUACAUGCAAGUCGAACGAGAAGUCACCUUCGGGUGAUGGAAAGUGGCGGACGGGUGAGUAAUGUGUAGAGAAUCUGCCCUUUAGUGGGGGACAACAGUUGGAAACGACUGCUAAUACCCCAUAUGCGCGUAGCUGAGAUGCUAUUCGUGAAAACUCCGGUGCUAAAGGAUGAGUCUGCAUCUGAUUAGCUAGUUGGCGGUGUAAUGGACCACCAAGGCGACGAUCAGUAGCUGGUUUGAGAGGAUGAUCAGCCACAAUGGGACUGAGACACGGCCCAUACUCCUACGGGAGGCAGCAGUAGGGAAUUUUGCGCAAUGGGGGAAACCCUGACGCCAGCAACGCCGCGUGAUUGAAUAAGCCCUUCGGGGUGUAAAGAUCUGUCAGUAGGGACGAAACUUGACGGUACCUACAGAGGAAGCAUCGGCUAACUCCGUGCCAGCCGCCGC
rnacentral:rRNA from 1 species